rnacentral:lncRNA from 1 species
AAAAAUAAUGGCUUAAUUUAUGUAAAAAAUGAUAUGUAACACAGUCACAGCAACAAAAAUCCACUACAGGUUCCUGACUUGUGACAGGCACAUACGAUUGUGAAGGGUUAAACUAGUUUGAAGGCACUAACCCUUCCCCUAACCUGGAAAAGUGGUGUAACAAUACAACAUAAUAACAAACUAUGAAAAUCAGUUGAAUUUUUUUUUUAACUCAGCUCAAGGAUACAAAUAGAAAUACAUCUAACAAAAAAAACAGAAAAUUGACAUGGAUGGGUACUGGUACAUCCCAACAUAAAAAUAGAAAAAAAACAGCCUAAUUAAUGUACAAAAAAAUGAAUGAAAAACAAAUAUUCACAGUUACUGACAGCUAGUUCAAAGCCAAUAACAACUUAUAAAAAGAAUCAUGCAUCUAAGACUGAUUUGUCAAUCAAUACACAUGCACCAUCUACUGGAUUUAGUAAACAGGUGUCAUAAAGUAAUUCAGAG